rfam:Schistosoma rodhaini strain Burundi genome assembly, scaffold: SROB_scaffold0006434
AUCCAGCUGACGAGUCUUGAAUAGGAUGAAACACGCGCCCUGGAU